rnacentral:lncRNA from 1 species
CAUCUUUCACUCACAACAAACAAUCUCAAUCGAUUGUUCCGCUAUCUCUUCUCUUCAAGGUAGAAAAAUCGAUCACCUUUUUGGAUUAUUUAGAGCUAUUUACUGUGUGGACUGUUGUAAUUGUUUCUGUGAGUAAUUUUCUCUCUGAUCUGUUUACCUUUUCUUUUUGACAUAUUUCCCGAUUCUUGUGUUCUUUUGUAGUUCUGUGAUGGCUAUGCUUUCAAGGUUUUUGGUGGUUUUGUGGCUAUAUUUCCCGAUUUAUUAACAUUAUAUAUGUCAUUGAGUAUUGCUGGUACUGCUAGGUUUGCAAUUGAUUGUGGUUUGAUUUAUCAUGGAUUCCCUAAACCCUAAACAUUAUUUACCCACAAAAAAAGGAUUGGUGGUUUUGCUUUGGCUCCCUUCUGCAAUGUUAGCUAGUGCUUCCAAAAUUUGAAACGUAUUUGUUUUCUAAUUUUUUGGGUUCUAGUUUGGAAAGUUCAUAUCAAAAUUCAUGGUGUUAUCUUGGUAGGUUAUAUUCAGUUUUUUGCUUGAAUAUUGAAAUAGUGGGCUCAUAUUGUGUGUAAUGCAAUUUUCGUUAUUUUUACUUGGUGAUAUGAUUGUGGAACUCAAGUUUUGGUUCUGUUUACUUUGGUUUUGGUGGUUUUAGGGGGGUUUAGACUAUUUUCUGAUUCUUGUGUUCUUUUGUCGUUUUAUGAUUGCUAUGUUUUCAAGGUUUUUGGUGGUUCUGUGAGGUGAAAUACUUUUCCGGUUUCAGAUUGGAAGUUACCAAUAAGUAUGUAUGCCAUCCGAAUGGGUGGAAACCAAUCCAGUUAGAGGAAUCUCUCAUGUCAGCCCUUGAAAAUUGAUUAUUUUUACUGCUUCCUUUGCUUGAUAUAUGUGCUGUUAGAAAAGGAAACAUAUCAGCAAAUUUGAGCCAAUCUGUUUUGUUGUAUUUAAAUUGUUAUAUGCAAUACUGGUGUAGCUUCAUUUUGUUCCCUGCAAGUUGUUGUAAGCUGUACGCCCUAUUACGUGAGCUUAUCUUUCUCUUCAAAUUUCAUAUAUGUUGCAUAAAUACUUAAAGUUUGAUAAGCUUAUUGAAUCAGAGGGGAAACAGACAAUUUAGUCCUGGAGAAGUAAUUUGAUUUGUUAUGCACCCUUUUUCUUUAAUUGUCAUACUGUUGUUCUUCUUCACAUUGUCUCUCAAAACGUAUCUGAGAAUAGAACCAUGUUAUGAUAGCCUAUUGCAUGUCAAGGCUAGUGGAAACACACUGAGAAUUAAUUAUUACAUCCAUAUAUUACAAACACCGAGUUUGAUAGUCAAAACAUGCUUAGACUAUACAUACCACUCCACUGUACACCAUAAAGAAAGUAAGAACAAGCAUAUAGAAGCAAACUGUUCAUACAAAUCCUUUUAUAAUAGAAAUUGCAUUGAUUUGUUGCAUCACUGUUUUGUCUUAUUCUUUUCCUUCAUGAUCCAACUUGCAUUUCAAUAUUUCACUCUCACUUUAUUAGAUCUUCGGCCGUGAUAGCUUAUGGUACCUUUAC